UGAAAGCAACAAGGGCUGCACCUCAGCUGACCCCAGAUGAGCCUGAGUUAAUGAUGAUCUGUGUUCCUGCUGGGCUAAUCAGUGUCUGAUAUCCUCUCAGACCUAUGAAGGCAGAAGAGAUGAACUGGAUGUCAUGACAGAUUUCGAAACCCUCGACAUCAGUGGCGCCUCUGAUGUCAGACGGACUGUGGCUGUCAGAAGUGUUAGCAGGGUGCCUGAUGUCUCAACCUUCCCCUAUUUACAGAUCCGGCAAAUCCAGGCACCCAAACAACCCUGUCUACCACUAUUCAUCCUCUAAAUACUGAUAAAAACAACUGUCUGACCACAGACGCAGUGGAAUGUGCUUUACAGCUUUUCACAAGGGCAGACAGUUUCUCAGACAGCUGCCAAUUCUCCCACAAAUGUGCAAGACUGGGGUUCACAAGAGGUAAAGCCUCGCAAGAAAGCUUGUGUAGGCACUGUUACCUUCACAGCUGGGCUUUCUGUUACACCGGGCCCGGAUCCAAAGCUCUGGAUGAGCUUAAGCUUGCUGUCCUUUGCCCAAUCUGCAUGGACAAGUCCUCCCUACCACCAC
ensembl:lncRNA